rnacentral:rRNA from 1 species
GUGCCAGCAGCCGCGGUAAUACGGAGGGUGCAAGCGUUGUUCGGAAUUACUGGGCGUAAAGCGUACGUAGGCGGCGGGUUAAGUCGAAUGUUAAAGCACGGAGCUCAACUCUGUGAUGCAUUCGAUACUGGCUUGCUAGAGGGUGAUAGAGGAACGCGGAAUUCCGAGUGUAGCGGUGAAAUGCGUCGAUAUUCGGAGGAACACCAGUAGCGUAGGCGGCUUUCUAGGUCACACCUGACGCUGAGGUACGAAAGUGUGGGUCGCGAACAGGAUUAGAAACCCCGGUAGUCC